GACGAACGCUGGCGGCGUGCCUAAUACAUGCAAGUCGAGCGAAGUUUUUCUGUUGCUUGCACCGGAAAAACUUAGCGGCGAACGGGUGAGUAACACGUAAAGAACCUGCCUCAUAGACUGGGACAACUAUUGGAAACGAUAGCUAAUACCGGAUAACAGCAUUAACUGCAUGGUUGAUGUUUGAAAGUUGGUUUUGCUAACACUAUGAGAUGGCUUUGCGGUGCAUUAGCUAGUUGGUGGGGUAAAGGCCUACCAAGGCGACGAUGCAUAGCCGACCUGAGAGGGGGAUCGGCCACACGGGGACUGAGACACGGCCCAGACUCCUACGGGAGGCAGCAGUAGGGAAUCUUCCGCAAUGGGCGAAAGCCUGACGGAGCAACGCCGCGUGAGUGAAGAAGGAUUUCGGUUCGUAAAGCUCUGUUGUUAGGGAAGAAUGAUUAUGUAGUAACUAUACAUAGUAGAGACGGUACCUAACCAGAAAGCCACGGCUAACUACGUG
rnacentral:rRNA from 1 species